rnacentral:sRNA from 1 species
GGCUGCAAUGAGCUGAGAUCACACUCCAGCCUGGGUGAAGGAGACUCUGUCUCAAAAAAAAAAAAAAAAAGUAUGCACUGGGACCCUAGCGUGGCACCUGUCCCACCACGCCUGCUCCUGAGUUGUCCAUUCUGUCUCUGCAGGUACAAGAAGAACAUCAAGGCCUUGUACAUCGUGCAUCCGACCAUGUUCAUCAAAACUCUGCUCAUCCUCUUCAAGCCCCUCAUCAGCUUCAAGUUCGGGCAGAAGAUCUUCUAUGUGAAUUACCUGAGCGAGCUGAGCGAGCACGUGAAGCUGGAGCAGCUGGGGAUCCCUCGCCAAGUGCUCAAAUAUGACGACUUCCUGAAAUCCACACAGAAGAGCCCCGCGACAGCCCCCAAGCCCAUGCCCCCACGGCCCCCCCUGCCCAACCAGCAGUUUGGAGUCUCGCUGCAGCAGUAAGUAUGAAAGGUGGCUGGGCCACGGCGGGGCGGGAAGGGCUGCAGGCCCGGCUCACCAGCCUUGUUCCCGCAGCCUCCAGGAGAAGAAUCCAGAGCAGGAGCCCAUUCCCAUUGUACUCAGGGAGACUGUUGCCUACUUACAGGCCCACGCUCUCACCACCGAGGGCAUCUUCCGGAGGUCGGCCAACACCCAAGUGGUCCGGGAAGUGCAGCAGAAGUACAACAUGGAUGGGUGCUGCCCUUCAGGCUGUGCCGAGCUUCUCUCAUGCUGCCCCCACCCCAGGGCUGCCUGUGGAUUUCGACCAGUACAAUGAGCUGCACCUGCCAGCAGUCAUCCUCAAGACCUUCCUCCGGGAGCUUCCUGAGCCCCUGCUCACCUUUGACCUCUACCCCCAUGUGGUGGGCUUCCUCAACAUUGAUGAAAGCCAGAGGGUGCCAGCGACACUGCAGGUCCUCCAGACGCUGCCCGAGGAGAACUACCAGGUGCUUCGUUUCCUGACUGCUUUCCUGGUGCAGAUUUCUGCACACAGUGACCAGAACAAGAUGACCAACACUAACCUGGCUGUUGUUUUCGGCCCUAACCUGCUGUGGGCCAAGGAUGCGGCCAUCACCCUCAAGGCCAUUAAUCCCAUCAACACCUUCACCAAGUUCCUUCUGGAUCACCAAGGGGAGGUGUUCCGAAGCCCGGACCCCAGCGGGCUCUGAACCUGGCCCCUGCCCCACCAGCCCCUUCUCUGGUAGCCCGGGUUUGGACUCUUCCUCCUGGCAUCAGGGGCCAUGAAGCCCCCUGGAGAGAGAUGUUGGAGCCACCCAUCAGGCAUGCUCUCCCCCACCUCUGUCCAGCCCGCCUCACGGCCCUGGCGGCCUCGCUGUUACCAGAAGACGUUUUUCUCUGCCUUACACUUCUCACUGCCUCUCUGGACACCUGGCUUUUGCUGGGCUCUCCAGAGCUGGGCUUGGCUCUUCCAGCUGGAGAAGGACUGAGCCCCAGUAACCCCUUUCCUGCUUUUUCCUGCCUC